ACUUGUAGCCCUUGCAGGCUGUACCCCUAUAUAAGAAUAAGAGGUUGGUAGAUCAACAGAUAAGCAGGUUUGGGCCUGGCCAGUACUUGGAUGGGAAACCAACUAGGAAAACUGGGUUGCUGCUGGAA
rnacentral:rRNA from 1 species